rnacentral:rRNA from 1 species
AUUGAACGCUGGCGGCAGGCCUAACACAUGCAAGUCGAACGGUAACAGGAAGCAGCUUGCUGCUUCGCUGACGAGUGGCGGACGGGUGAGUAAUGUCUGGGAAGCUGCCUGAUGGAGGGGGAUAACUACUGGAAACGGUAGCUAAUACCGCAUAAUGUCGCAAGACCAAAGAGGGGGACCUUCGGGCCUCUGGCCAUCGAGUGUGCCCAGAUGGGAUUAGCUUGUUGGUGGGGUAACGGCUCACCAAGGCGACGAUCCCUAGCUGGUCUGAGAUGAUGACCAGCCACACUGGAACUGAGACACGGUCCAGACUCCUACGGGAGGCAGCAGUGGGGAAUAUUGCACAAUGGGCGCAAGCCUGAUGCAGCCAUGCCGCGUGUAUGAAGAAGGCCUUCGGGUUGUAAAGUACUUUCAGCGGGGAGGAAGGGAGUAAAGUUAAUACCUUUGCUCAUUGACGUUACCCGCAGAAGAAGCACCGGCUAACUCCGUG